CCGCGCUUCUCUCGCACGCGGGAAAGGGGCUCCACACAGUAUUAUAUAUCUUGUAUCUUGAUAUCCUACGUGGAAUAACUGGUGGUAAUUCUAAAGCUAAUACAUGCACCAAAGCUCCGAAUUUUUGACGAGCGCAUCUAUUAGAUUAAAACCAAUCGGGUUUCCGCCCGUUUGUUGGUGACUCUGAAUAACUAUGGCUGAUCGCAUGGUCUAGAACCGGCGACGUGUCUAUCAAGUGUCUGCCUUAUCAACUGUCGAUGGUAGUUUAUGUGCCUACCAUGGUUGUAACGGGUAACGGAGAAUAAGGGUUCGACUCCGGAGAGGGAGCCUGAGAAACGGCUACCACAUCCAAGGAAGGCAGCAGGCGCGCAAAUUACCCACUCUCGGCAUGAGGAGGUAGUGACGAAAAAUAACGAGACCGUUCUCUAUGAGGCCGGUUAUCGGAAUGGGUACAAUUUAAACCCGUUAACGAGGAUCUAUGAGAGGGCAAGUCUGGUGCCAGCAGCCGCGGUAAUUCCAGCUCUCAAAGUGUAUAUCGUCAUUGCUGCGGUUAAAAAGCUCGUAGUUGGAUCUGCGCCUCAGGACUUGGUCCGCCCACUGGGUGAGAACUGGGCUCCUGGGCUAGUUCUGCUGGUUUUCCCUACGUUGCCUUCAUCGGUAGCGUAGGGUGGCUAGCGAGUUUACUUUGAAAAAAUUAGAGUGCUUCACGCGGGCUUAUGUCUGAAUACUCGUGCAUGGAAUAAUAGAAUAGGAUCUCGGCUCUAUUUUGUUGGUUUUCUGAUCUGAGAUAAUGGUUAAGAGGGACGGACGGGGGCAUUCGUAUCGCUGCGUGAGAGGUGAAAUUCUUGGACCGUAGCGAGACGUCCGACUGCGAAAGCAUUUGCCAAGAAUGUCUUCAUUAAUCAAGAACGAAUCGCAGUGGUCGAAGCAGAAAAAACCCCCCACACACAAAAGUUAAAAGGGGUAUGAAGAGGAGU
rnacentral:rRNA from 1 species